rnacentral:rRNA from 1 species
AUUGAACGCUGGCGGCAUGCCUUACACAUGCAAGUCGAACGGCAGCACGGGAGCAAUCCUGGUGGCGAGUGGCGAACGGGUGAGUAAUAUAUCGGAACGUGCCCAGUCGUGGGGGAUAACGCAGCGAAAGCUGUGCUAAUACCGCAUACGAUCUAAGGAUGAAAGCGGGGGAUCGCAAGACCUCGCGCGAUUGGAGCGGCCGAUAUCAGAUUAGCUAGUUGGUGGGGUAAAGGCCCACCAAGGCGACGAUCUGUAGCUGGUCUGAGAGGACGACCAGCCACACUGGAACUGAGACACGGUCCAGACUCCUACGGGAGGCAGCAGUGGGGAAUCUUGGACAAUGGGCGCAAGCCUGAUCCAGCAAUGCCGCGUGCAGGAUGAAGGCCUUCGGGUUGUAAACUGCUUUUGUACGGAACGAAACGGCCCUUUCUAAUACAGGGGGCUAAUGACGGUACCGUAAGAAUAAGCACCGGCUAACUACGUGCCAGCAGCCGCCGUAAAAC